rnacentral:lncRNA from 1 species
CUCCUCCUUCUGCAGUGGGGGCCGAAUGGCAGAUGCUACCCAAAUGUAUUCAUUAAUCAGAAGAGGCUUUCGCCCCCUGACGCCUCUGGGCCUCAGGCAGCCAGAAUCUCCGCCCGAGCUGCAGGGCAGGAGGCGCCUCCCUCCUAGCGCCCUUAGCAAAGAGACGGGGCGUCAGACAUAAACACUGCCCGGAGUCUGAGGAGAGAAGGGUUCCAUUGUGUUCUGAAUGCGGGUUUCCAGACAAGAUGCUCCUGGGGUCCCGCGCCUCCUCCAGAAGCUCCGUGAGCUCGGAGGAGCAAAGAGCAGCGCGCCACAGCCACAGCAGCCGGGGAACCUCGCCGCGCGGGUCUGCACCAGCCUCCGCCUCGCCUCCCAGCCCUCUGGUCCUGUUUGCCUUCCAGCCGAAGUCGGGCCCAAAUUAAUUCUCUGCACUUUGAGAAGCUCGCAGCAGCUGAGGAGAAGCCAGAGCAUCCGUGCUCAGCUAAAGCCACAGGGAAGAAACUGCAACCUGGAGAGAAUAAGCAGAGCAUCAAAUUCCACAGAUCUACUGGAGGGGAAAAAGGAGGAAAAAAAAGCAACCAGAGAGUCUUUAUUUCACCAGAUGGUCCCAGAAUUUCCACUCAGGUAACCUAGUUUAAUAGGC